rnacentral:sRNA from 1 species
CUUCAUAAAUAUUAAUGUAUUAUUUUCACAAAGAUGAAAAGAAGACAUCGGUACAAAGUACAACAAAUUCCUACAAUGUUGUCUGAUGUAAAAAGACACGUUUAAGGUCUCUAAUGGAUAUAUAUCACAAAGCUGCACUUCACAAUGAUAUAGUUUUCUUUCUUCCUAAGACUAUAUAAAACAAGAUACUGUGAUGUGACAGUCUGCUAUGCACUUUGCUCAUAGAUAGCUUCUAAAAUCCUCCGCCAACUCACUUCCUCCUCUGCCACCUCAGCAUCCACCACCUCCGCAUCCACCACCUCCUCCACCACCUCCGCAUCCACCACCACCACCUCCACCGCCACCUCCGCCAUCACCUCCACCACCGUCGCCACGCCUACGCUUGGUAUCUUUGUUGUCGUCUCCACAAGCAAAUAUGAUGAUUGAAAUGAUGGAAAGAGAAGCAAUAAUCAUGAGAAACAAAAAUAUAGGUGAAGAAUGAAGCACCAAAGCCUCUUCACCUCCAUUUGACUCACCACCAUCAACCACAACAAAGUGUCUAGCCAUGUAUCUUUUCACUCGAAAU